CUGGCUCAACACCAUCUGACUCUACACCACCUGGCUCUACACCUUACCUCAACACCAUCUGACUCUACAUCACCUGGUUCAACACCAUCUGACUCUACACCACCUGACUCUUAACACCACCACUUGGCUCACACAAGUCUGAACUUUUUUAAAGUGAUAAUUGAUUCUAUGAUGGCAGUACAGUACAGAUCACACUACACCCACAAGAACUGAAACACGCCUCAUGAGUUGAGAGGCUACCAACUAAGCCAUUAACUCUAUAUUAUCAUUAAUUAACAACUAUACAUUUUGAGACUAAUCCUUAAUUAUAUAAAAAUGGUUAUUACUGUUGUAUGGCUGCACAUCAAUGACCAUAUCACUCGGUAAAAGCACUAAGAAUGAGCUACAGAGAUAAUAACAGAUUUGAUUUAUACUGUCAUGUCACUGUAACAUCCUUAUAACCAAAAUUAAUUCACUUUACCCAAGCUGUCAUCCUUUUAGUAUACAAGUUUCACUUAUAUUAGUUUUUGAGAUACUUUUGUGAAAGUAUGCUAACAUAACUUAGCAUUUAAACCAAUUACAAGAGCUUCAUUUCUUUAAUGUAACAAUAAUCAUCAAUGUGACAGCUUGUUCCUCAAACCUUUGAACUUAUCAUUCCCAAAAUCUAUCAGCUUCUUCCUUUACCUAUAAGAGUUUUGUGUAUGGUCUUACUGAAAUACCCAAAGAAAAAUUUUUUUUGUACACAUGGUGAUGCCUACAGGAGAACAAUGCUGUAUGAUAAUUACUGUAUUUUCCCUGAACUUAUUUCAAGUGCAGAAAUUUAAAAAACAUUAGAUCUCUUUAACAGUACUGUAUUGUGUCUGGAAGAUAUACACCACACUGUGAUGCUUAUGUACUGACAUUUGCAUCUGGGUAUUUACUAAGAAUUACCAACGUUGAGCACAGGUAAUAUGCAUAACCACAGAAGGGUUUAAGUAUAUGAGCCACAUAAACUACCUGAUGGUAGCUGUUCUGUUGGUAAAACCAGAAUGGGAUGUUCCUACCCCUCACCACUAUAAACCCAAGGCACCAGCCAAGAAAAUGCAGCAGAGACCAGAGGAUGGACACACCUCAGAUAACUCAGUUGCCAUCAGGUAUGUUGAAGUAAAGUUUUGUUGCUGGAUGCCCUUCCUAACAGCAACACACAGGGUGAGAACAGCUGGCAAGGCAGGGUCGCAACUCCCUCAGGUAAUCACACUACCCGCCUACCUGUACAUGUAUGGGUACACUAAUUUUUCUCUCCACACUAAAUCAUUAAACGGUUAGUCUCUUAUACAUAAAGUACUACUGUACUUUGGAAAUAGCUGUUUUUACCUAAUUAGCCUAGUUACUAAACAUUUAGAGAAAAUAUAUUUACAGUACUAUGACCUUUACACCCCUAACAAGCUUCCCUUCUGACUUCCUAAUGAGAAAGUAGUUAAUCUAGGUUUUUAUGCCACCUGACUCGUAUGCAAUUUGACUACUCACCCACUUCUUAAAUAACAUGCUGCAGAUGUCCAUGUUCUCCAUCACAGAAAAUCAAUGAUCUUUGGUCAGCUUACAUGGGAGACUUCAUGAGUGAGGCCUCCCUUCCCCUGGCCUGUCCAUAUAUGAGGAUUAUCUCUACCAGCAACCUACCUUUCAUGGUUAGGUAACAUUUCUCAUCUAACUGAGGGUCGAACACAUCAAAACUUGCCACAAUAAAGAUUAAUAAUGAACUAGAACAAGACACAACUAAAGUUUCCUUCCAGUAAGUCAAAGUUAACUUUCAUUAUGUCAGUGUUAAAUUCAUACACCCUCCACUAAGUUAAUUAACAUAUGGGCAAUAAACCACAAAGUAUCCAAAUGAUGCUCUACACCAACUCAUCUCCACCUGUAAAUGUUACAAGCAUUAAAACACUUUAUUAUAUGAAAUAUUUAUUAAAAAUAACAUCUAUUAUGUAUACAACAAACAUUACACUUGUUUUAAUAUUCAACUUUCUUUUUUACAAGAGAAACAACCAGUAUCUGAUACUGUACACAUAAAACUUAUAUCAGUCUCAUAAUAACUAGUCUAUCUUAUGUUAUCAUCAAGCUCCACAUUAACAAAGUUCACCGUGGGUUUAUGCCUUACAAGUGCAAGUUUUGCUCCAAACAGUUCAAGUGCCAAUCCAAUCAUAAAGAACACGAGGCGAGACACCGGGGACUUCGAGUGCGGCCUGAAGUUCGCCAUCGGGUCGUCCCUGGAGCACCACGGCGCGGACCGGCCGUUCUCCUGCUAUCGCUGCGGCAAAACCUUCAAGGCCAAGACUCAUUUGGAGAGGCACGUUAAAUGUCUGCACCUACAGGAGAAGGUGGUGUGUGUGUGGUGCUGCUCACUUCAACAACUGGAACCUGAAGGUGCACAUGAAGAUGCAUCAGGUAUCAGCUCAAGACAAUGGCCGCAUCUGUAACAUAUGCAAGUGUAUCUUUAGGAAUAAGUCCGGCCUUAUGGUACACAUGCGUAAACAACACAACACUACAGCCCUCCGUUCACCACACAAACCCGACGCACAGACUGACGCGGCUCACAUUGACACCAGACAAGACGGCUCACACAGGCACGGCUCACACUGACAAGACAUGGCUCACACAAACAAGACGGCUCACACAGGCACGGCUCACACUGACACCAGACAAGACACGACACGCUGACACCAGACAAGACCAACUGACCACAGACGGUACUUUAGAGUUAAUGAACGAGGAUCCAUCUGUCACAGGAGACAACAUAACAACUAUAGUCAUACAAGAUGGAUCUUUACCACAGUUCAGUGAUGGGUGUCAGCCAGAGCUCAUCUAUGACAACUUCUGUCAGGACACCUCCAUGCAUACCUUUGAGUUGUAUCCUUGUGGCGAGUGUGUGGUGGUGUUCCAGUCUGAGGACGAUCUAUUGACUCACCACCACACACUAUGAGGGGUGACUGUUGGUGGUCUAGACACACACUCAAAUUCAUUUUAUAGAGAGGUCGGUUUCAGUAAGUUAGAGGAAAUGGGAUAACGGAGGUGUCUUUGAAGUGAUGAGAAAACGGACUCUUCAGAUGAAGGACUCCAAAUAAAGCAGAGUCACAUGUUUUGUGAGCUAUUGAGCGUAAUACGAAUAAUUUGAUUUUGGCGUUAACUGACGUGUAUGACCGUGGUCGUUACACCAAGAUUAGUUUAAACCAGUGAAGAUGGAACUAUAGUACAGGGCCACUCUGGAUACGAGAAUGUGUACUUUGAAAGAUUGGAAAGUAAAAACCCACACAUUAAUUUCGUCAUUUGUCCAUUGGGUUAGGUUGUGAAGAAGUAGCACUAUUUUAAGAUGAAUAGAACGGUAUUUCCCGAAGCGUUUAACAGCAUCAAGUACAGUACAAUAUUUGAGAACCAUUUCUGGACAAACAGCAGACGUAGUAGAGAUUUUAUUAUACUCUGGGUUUUGAUUCAGUAAAAGCAAGGAUUUAGAUUAUUCCAUAAAAUAUAAAUAGAAUAACUUUAUUGGUUACAUAUACUGUAUAUUCAAUAUGUACACGUUUGACUUUACUUACACAGAAUGUAAUGCAAUACAGCUCACGACCCACAAAAGGGGUAGUAGAAAUAACAAAGACGCUGGAAAGCAGUUUCUUGAAGAGACAAAUUGCUUGUAGUUUAACACUAGAAAACUCCCUCAAAAGCUGUGGGAAGGAUCCACUAACCGCGGUAGAACCGAGUAGGAAAGUAAUUGUUGCGAUGGAGUUCUCCAGCAACAGGUAAAAACCCAAGACAACGUUUGUAAAAGCUCCUAAUUGUUCUUGUGGUCACACUGCAGCUCCCUCGGUCAUAUAGGGUUCACGGUCGUCUAAGGAGCGUGUUCUAGAAAUAGAGUAAAAAGCAAGAAGAUUAAUGAAGUGUUAGCCUGGCGGAAUAGUUUAACGCAAAAUUUAUGUAAAAUGCUUAAUUAAAUUAAUAUCAAGACUACUAAAAUUUACCUUUUCUUGUCAAGAUUAAGUUCAAACAAUAACUUCCCAUUCACCAACAAAUAAUUUACAAACAAAAUUUUUCAACAUACACUUACACUACUGUACAGCAGAUGUUGUAGCGUCGUCAUGUACCAGUGUUCUGUGUUCACGUCCGUCUACCAGGCUUUAUAUACAGGCGGCCCACACUCCCUGACCAAUCACAAGCUGUUUUAGGUUAAGUUUUAGCCAAUGGGAACAUUCCCUUGUUAUGACGUCAAAGUGACAUCAUGCCGAAGCUAAACGCCGGCAAUGGUUGUUUGAUGACGAGUAAACGAUUGAAACUUUAUUGUGACAAGAAAGAAGUGUAAAACGUGAAAGGCAAAUAUUAUGAAAUGGUAUGCACCGCUUUACUUAUCUUGGAUAGAAAUUGUGAAUAUAUUACAAGAGCAGCAAUAUUGGCCUCAGACAUUGUUAAGAGACAUAUACAAUAAAAUAGUACUAUUGUAAUCUAAAAAAAGUCAUACAAUUAAAUAGAAUAGCCUAAAAAGUUAAUAUGACGAAUAAAAUAAGAUGACAAAGUACAGUGAUAAAGAGAGAAAAAUAAACCACUGAGUUAAUAUUAACCUUUACUUGAAAUUGACCAGAAACACUAAAAUUAACAAAAGACAGACAUAUGUUACAAGAAUGGAGAAGAAAACCUACACGUUACAACAAAGUAGAGUAGAGUGGUGAGCAGGGCCGGGAGUGGGCAGUUGGGGCCUCCACAUAUUACAAUAUUUUAUGUAUUUGUUUAAUCAUUUGGAUUCUUUGUAAAUUUCAUUCUUUAAAAUUCAUGUUUAUCACGUGAUAGAAGUUAGACUAGCUAAUACUUGAAAUUGACGAAUAGCUGGUUUUCCUAUGAACCGUAUAUUUUUAAUGAAUGCUAUUGUUUGUGUUGCUAAUAAUAUGAUAUUUUGAAUUGCGGAACUCGUAGAUGUUUAGGUUCGCUUCACUCGCUACUCCACCCUCUUGGGGUAGUUAUAAUGAGGGGAAUUAUUAUAUAACAUUUAGUAUCAUGUGGAUUAGUAGACGUAACAUUGUUAUAAUUAAGUUAUAAAUAUACUAUACUGUACGUAAAGUAUUUUACGGUAAACAUUACUCGGGUCGUGACUUGACCGGUGAUAGUUGUCACCAAGGAAUGGAGAUGUAGGGUAUCUUGUUAUUUGCAUCUUGGAAGGAAACUUUAUUGACUACGAUACUGCCACUGUAGGCUGUGAGUUGCUAUCAUAACUUUUUGGUUUGGUAGCUUAUCACAAAUUGUGUGGUCCCUAUGGUGUAAAUACCCAAGAGCAGUUUAUGUGGGAUAAUCCCCUCGUUUGGUUGUGACGGUGAUGACCGGAGAAGAAGUUCGGUUGAGCAGCGAGUCGGCGUCAAGGUGGGGUAUAUAAAGGGUGAACCGGCAAGGAUGCAUCAGUUACAAUCCGAUCCUUGUGUCUGGUGCUCGUGUAUAACGACAUAACAAAGUGUAGUUUGUGAAGAAGAAAAGAAAAGUAAAGUAUAGUAUAUAUAUAUAUUCGUGUUUUGACAUUUGUUCGUUCGGCUGUUAGUUUUGUGCUUUCGAUAUGUUUUCUUAAACAUUUUUCUGUGCUUUUUAACACAAGUCAUAGAUGUAUUUGAUUUGAGGCCUGUGAAACAUAUUUAAGAUCUGUGUUUGUGGUUAACUUGGGAGCUUUUGAAGGUGUUCAUAAUUCAAGUACUCGGAGUACAGAUUAUUUAAGUUGAAAUGGUAGUUUAAUUGAAAUAAAAUCCUUUAAGUGUGUAUCGUGCUAAGUGUUUGAAAAAGUUAAUAGUGUAUUUUGUGAAAUUGGCGGAAUAUGUUGCGUUUUUGCAAGAAAUCGUGUUGUCAUUUCGUUGAUGAGUGACGGAAAGUGAAUUCAUGAGCAUGAAGAUUGUGUAGUAAGUUCAUUAUUGAAAUAUUCUCUCGACCUGAAGUUGUUUGGAUGCGAACUUCAAUGCAGUUUUAAGUGAUGGUGGUGGAAUCUUGAAAAUGAGUGAGAAGAAAAGAAAGCUGUAGCAUUUAUGUGUGCCUUAGCUUGGACAGUUCAUAGUGAUAAGUGAUCGUGGUGGAAUCGUGAAAAUGAGUGAAAAGGAAAAAAGAUGCAGCAUUUGUGUGUGCCAAGUAGUAAAGCAUACUGGUGUGUGCGUGUGUUUUGAUGCGUAUAGUAGAAGAUUGGAGGUGUUGUGCUUAUAGUGAUCCCUUCAACCGGAGAAGUAGGUAAGAAAAUAAAUCUUCCGCCAGCGACCUUUUGGUAAACGAGGGGUGAGGGCAGGUAAGUGACUAUGGAUGUUGAGAGUUUAUUUAGCGAGGUAAAGAUAGGGAUUUGACAUGAGCGUUAAGUUUGAGCCAACUAGCGUGGGAAAGGUUGAUUUUUGCAGAGACGUGACCGGCACAGAGGUAGAGCCAGAAUUUAGAGUUUAGGUGAAUGAAAUUUUUGAAUGGGUGUUGUGUUUGUGCUGUUAUAUACUGGAGGCUAUAUAAUGGUACUACACUCUCGGUUGUGUGUGUGUGUGUGUGUUUAUGGUCGUAUUUUGUUGUCGUAGAUAGAGGCGAGGUAAGGUGGUAGUGUGCCGUCUGUUAUGGUUCAUGUGUUAGUUUUAUACGCAGACUACAGUGUUAUUAAUUGUUAUUGUGUAUGUGCUCUUGUUUCAUUAAUUUAGACUUGCUUGUUGUAAAUUUUCAAGUUGAGUGGUAAGUACUGUUUUCUGAAAUUGUUUAUUAUGGUAUAUGUGAAUUCAUUGUAAUUUGACAUUGAUUGCUGUCGGAAAGUCAUAUUUGAUUUGUUGCCAUAGAAUGUAAUAUAACGUCAAAAUAGUAGUUAAAUUUGGUUAGUGUUAGAUGGGUUUUGAGAAAGUGAUUGAAAGCUGAACCUUGAUGCCUUUUAUUGCAGGUGUACGGAAGGCUUAUACUGUGGAAUAGAGAAGAGAACGUGGCCUAAGUUUGUAGGUGGUGGCGAGCGCGUCUACACUUGCGGUGAGGAAAUCGUCAACAUGGUUGUUGUUGGAGGUGGAAGGAGCCGGUAUUUUUUGAGGUAGACUAGGGAAUAGUGAUGGGUUGGUGUCGGUUCCCUAGUGCAGCCAAAAGUGCCUAGUUUAUAGUAGACGGGCAAGGGGAGACUUAAGUGAGGUGUAUAAACCUGUGAAAGGGCACUACUUAGUCGAGGAACCGUAGCUGACUGACGCCCGCCUCACAAGGGGUCACAGCCGAAGUGGGGGCGCCGGCGGUAGUGCGGUACCGCUCUCGCCUCGCAAGCGAGACGUCUUGGGUUCGAUUCCCGGGCCGGUGGAAAGUGGGUUGGACACACUUCCUAG
rnacentral:lncRNA from 1 species